ensembl:misc_RNA Metazoa_SRP Metazoan signal recognition particle RNA
GCCAGGUGUGGUGGCGCACACCUGUAAUCCCAGCUACUCAGGAGGCUGAGGUGGGAGAAUCGCUUGAACCUGGGAGGUGGAACCUGGGAGGUGAGCCAAGAUCAUGCCACUGCACUCCAGCCUGGGUGACAGAGUGAGACUCCAUCUCAU